UACGGGGGGGGCAAGCGUUGUUCGGAAUUACUGGGCGUAAAGGGCUCGUAGGUGGCCAACUAAGUCGGACGUGAAAUCCCUCGGCUUAACCGGGGAACUGCGUCCGAUACUGGUUGGCUUGAGUUCGGGAGAGGGAUGCGGAAUUCCAGGUGUAGCGGUGAAAUGCGUAGAUAUCUGGAGGAACACCGGUGGCGAAGGCGGCAUCCUGGACCGACACUGACGCUGAGGAGCGAAAGCCAGGGGAGCAAACGGG
rnacentral:rRNA from 1 species